ensembl:lncRNA
GUGCCUUAAGGAUUUUAAGUGUUGUCUAACCUGGCCUUGUUUGUGUGAGUGUUUGUGUGUUCUCCAUGUGCUGGAAGGUAAACCCCAUGGCAGCAGGAUCUUGUCCUUUACCUCUUGGCUACCUCAUGCUAAGAACACUGCCUGACAUGUACUACACACUAUCAAUAUGAAUUAAGGAAUAAACCAGUCAAUCUUGGGAGAAUUUUCAGGCCAGCUUCAUGAUUCUUUCAUGAAGAAUUAUGCUCAGCUCCAAGGACCUUCACCUCCUUUCUACUUUAACCACCUCUGUCUAAACCACACUGUUAACCUUGUCAUGUCCUGGAAAGAUUCCCCCACAUCUACAAACCACCGCCUCUGAUUCUGACCAUAUUCUCUCAGUCAUCUCAGGUCUUCUCUCCACCACUUCUUUUAUAUCCUUGAACCCUGUUGAUCUGUGGGCCUUUCUAUUUUCUCCAGCCCAGCAGUUUCUUCCUACUUUUCUUCUGGACAGUGUAGACACUCUCUCAUUCCUCCUCUCUCUUUACCCAUUCCCACCAGUGUCCUCAAUCCAUUAUCCCUUGGCAUCCUACUAAUUCAACUCCUUGAAUUUUCAGCACAGACUCUGAUACCAGAGGUCUGGGUUUGAAUCUCAGCUUCAUCAUUUGCUAACUGGAUGACCUUGGGAAAGCUACUUGAAUGUGCCUCUUUAUCCUCUUCCAUGAAAUGGAUAAAAUCAAAGUACCUCCUUUGUAAGGUUGUUAGGAAUAUGGUGCCAUUUCUCAGAUUUAACCUGGCUGAAACAACCUCAGCUCAGCCCCCACGAGGCGGAGCCCAAGCACAGCAGAAGCCCAACUCAGUGAAAGCUCCCACGGUGGAAGCUGAACUCAAGAAAGCCCAGUGCAGUGGAAGUGACAAGAAGCCCAGUGUGCUGGAAACUGGGACAACAAAAGCAAAUUCGGCAGAAAUGUCACACAGCUCAGGUUCCAGAAGACCUCUGAUUAAGGGGAGAAGGCCCUCCAAGGAUUACUAGAAAGGUCCUUCAGAGGAACAGGCCUCCAAAUGACUAUAAGGUAAGUGGUCUCCUCUUGUCCCACUUGCCAAUUAAACAACCCCCAAGGAGCUCAAAGACCCUAGCUGGCCCAGCCUGUCCAAUGGCAUGGGACCUACCCAGGAGAGGACUGGCAGAUGAACUUCACCCAGAUGCCAGUUUCUCAAGGGUAUAAAUACCUAUUAUUCAUGAUAGAUACAUUCACAGGAUAGAUUAAAGGCUUUCCUACCUGGACUGAGAAGGCUGAGGAGGUGGUAAAAAAAACUGCUUCCUAAAACCAUUCCGAGAUUUGGUCUGCUCAGAUCAUUACAAAGUGACAAUGGGACAUCAUUUACUUCUAAGGUCACCCAAGGGGUCUUUAAAGCAUUGAACAUUACUUAUUAUCUCCAUUGUGCCUGGAGGCCUCAGUCUUCAGGAAAAGUAGAAAGACCCAACCAAUUCUUAAAAUCAGUGAUAAAAAAGAUAAACCAGGAGACCACCCUGGGAUGGAAGGAGGCUUUACCAAUAGCUCUCCUCUGCACCCAUGUUGCCCCUAAGGAGCAGGUUGGUCUUAGUUCUUAUGAGAUGCUAUAUGGGAGACCUUUUGUUUAUGUCAAUGACCUCUUCCUAGAUCCAGAGGCUCAGACCCUCCAGUCUUAUACCAUGGCCAUUGGGCAAUUCCAACAAGAUAUAUGCUUGUGGUGUGUCAACCAGGACCCAAAAGAUUCUAAAGAGAUACCACUAUAUGCUCCAGAGAUUCAAGUCCUAAUUAAAGUCUGGAAAGAUGGGGUCCUCAAAUGCUCAACUCCAGCCCACGUGGAAGGGCCCCUACCCUGUAGUACUUUCUAUACCCCCACAGCAGUCAAGGUACUAGGACAUAACUCCUGGAUUCACUACUCAUGAGUCAAGCCAUGGAAGAAAACAGAAGAGGACACUCAAUACACGUAUGAGCCCCUGGGAGAUCUCAGAUACCUAUUCAGGACUGCAAAUGAGUGCCAUUCUAAUGAACACCCCCAAAAUUAAGUUUCUAAGGGUAAGAUUUCUCAGGAUAGCUCUAAAAAGCCAACACAGCUUGGCAGGGGUUGUACUCCAAAACAGACAGGAGAUAGAUCUCCUGAUCCCUGAACAAAGAGGAACUCAAGCCAUCUGGAAUGAGAUGUGUUGUUUCUGGGUAAAUACCACCAGCUAAGUUACAGAAAGUUUCAGAGUCCACAAGAAAAACAUUCAGAUCCUACAGGAUCUCAAAGAAUGAGCUGGAGAGUUCUUGGGGUGGCUAUAAUAUCUCUUUGGGGGAUCCUUCUCCUGACAGGAGGGAAUUUGGAGUUGGCUAAUGCCCCUACUAAUCCUUGUUAUCACCAUAUUGAUGCUGCUUAUGAUUUCUCCAUGUAUUAUUGAUUGUCUAACCCGUUUUAUCUCUGCCCAGGUCAACAAGCUACAACAUGCAGUGCCAGUUGAACAAAGAUAUAUAAAACUACAGCUGACCAUGGAAAAUAUCACUCACCCUUAGAUGGACACCGCUAUAAGGACUCUGAGACUUGAGACUAACAAGAGAGGGAGGCCCAAUGCCCCUCGCUGUCCCAAUUCAGCAGGAAGUAGCCAGAGAGACCUUGAUGCCCCAUUCCCAAAGAAUUGAGCCUCCCAUCUCUUGAAGGGGGAAUGUUAGGUAGUUAAAAUAGGAAAAAGGAGUCCAUAAUGGCUGUGGCUAAAAGACAAAGAAAGGAAAAAGCCUGUGAAAAUAGAACAAAGGAAGUUUGGAGGACUGGAGUGAGAACCUCAGGUGAAACAAACAGCCCUCCUGGCUAGCCCAAUUUACAUAGGACAGGCUCAAGGGGAGGAGAAAAAACAUAUAAAAAGAGGAGCCCAAAUUGAACUUCUGGCUUCUCUUCUCUUUGUGUCUUUUGGGUUGGCCCACCCUCAUGCCUCAAGGAUGUAUUUUAGUUUGAUUGCCAAAUAAAACUGAGCUGUAACACUGAUCUGUC